CRGGGGGCUGGAUGGAUUCAUGGAGGCCAUCUUGCUUGGCUUUGCUGUAUGCUUGAAGAAGAACCUGUAAUCGCUCAGGAGUUAUGAUUCCUGUGCAUUUCCCUGCUGUGUCGUAGAUGCACGAAGCUUGUGUGGAGAUGGCAUGGGGUACUUUGGGUUGCCCAUCAGGGUGCUGUUGGAUCCUGGUUGCAUAAGAUCUAUGCAGCGUACCCAGAUUUCACAUUUGUUUGUAGGAGAGAUGUCUACCUGAGGGUUACUUGUUUCCAAGUCAAAGCUUGCUUUAUUGCGUAUCUGAUGACC
rnacentral:lncRNA from 1 species